rnacentral:rRNA from 1 species
CCUACGGGAGGCAGCAGUGGGGAAUAUUGCACAAUGGGGGAAACCCUGAUGCAGCAACGCCGCGUGAGUGAGGACGUAUUUAGGGAUGGAAAGCCCUAUCAGCAGGGAAGAGAAAAGAAGGUACCUGAAAAAGAAGCCCCGGCUAACUACGUGCCAGCAGCCGCGGUAAUACGUAGGGGGCAAGCGUUAUCCGGAUUUACUGGGUGUAAAGGGAGCGUAGGCGGAAAGGCAGGUCAGAAGUGAAAACCCAAGGCUCAACCAUGGGACUGCUUUUGAAACUGUCGAACUAGAGUACGGGAGAGGUAAGAGGAAUGCCUAGUGUAGCGGUGAAAU